AGAUCACCGAAGUCAAGCAUCAUUAGGCGCUGUCAGUACUUGGGUGGGUGACCACCUGGGAACACCGCGUGCCGUU
rnacentral:rRNA from 1 species